CAGGGAGACAACACAAUGAUUUUGAUGCCUGAGUGCUUUUAUUCUUAGGCCGAAAUCCUGUCACCUUAGGUCGAUCGGUACCUCAGCUUUGAAGUCAAGGAUCAGCAGCAGUGUUGAUUGCUUGAUGGAGAUUUUCAGUUCCUAAACUUUGUCUAGGUCACACCCCAAAAGGGAUGAGACUCCUGGGCCAUUAGCUCAGGUGGUUAGAGCGCACCCCUGAUAAGGGUGAGGUCCCUGGUUCAAGUCCAGGAUGGCCCAUUCGGUGUUGGGGGUUUAGCUCAGUUGGUAGAGCGCCUGCUUUGCAAGCAGGAUGUCAGGAGUUCGAGUCUCCUAACCUCCACUGACCGAACUUGAUUCCCAUCUCCAAUUUUUUGGAGUUGAGCUCGAUUGGAGUGUGAUUUAGAUGUGUCCGCUGGAUGACCCCAGCUUCCUGUCAUUCCAAGUUUUAGAUUUUAAGUCUUAAAUUUGGUUGAUAAGAUGCUGGGCUCGGAUCAAAUGAUCAAGCAAUUGAUGAUUUGAUUGGAAGUUCUAGCAGAACCUUGACAACUGCAUAGGCGAAGUCUGGAAAAACAAAGCAUCUUACAGAUGCAUUGUUUUGAAUCUGAUCUUCCGAAAGGGAGAUUGGAUCUAGAACAAUGAAAAUUCUUUUGAGCAAGAGCCGAGACUCUUAAACGUUCUUUAAUUCGCGUCGAGCGAAUCAGAGUUUGAUCUUGUUUUUAGCAAUAAAAACUUGAGAAUCUGCUUUCAACGGUGGUAAGCGUUUAGAGGUUAAUU
rnacentral:tRNA from 1 species